rnacentral:rRNA from 1 species
AUUGAACGCUGGCGGCAUGCCUUACACAUGCAAGUCGAACGUGAAAGCGGGGCAACCCGCAAGUAGAGUGGCGGACGGGUGAGUAAUACAUCGGAACGUGUCCAGUAAUGGGGGAUAACCUAGCGAAAGUUAGGCUAAUACCGCAUACGAUCUGCGGAUGAAAGCGGGGGAUGCGGCACUAAAGGCUUUUGGCGAAGGUGGCCAAAGGUGAGUCAAGAGCUUUUAGUGCUGCACCUCGCGUUAUUGGAGCGGCUGAUGUCUGAUUAGCUAGUUGGUGAGGUAAAGGCUUACCAAGGCGACGAUCAGUAGCUGGUCUGAGAGGACGGCCAGCCACACUGGGACUGAGACACGGCCCAGACUCCUACGGAGCAGCAGUGGGAAUUUUGGACAAGUGGGGCAACCCUGAUCCAGCCAUGCCGCGUGAGUGAAGAAGGCCUUCGG